CAUCUUUCUUCCUCAAUGAAAAAUGUCUGCGAGAGAUCCGGCUAUGAAAGAUCCUUGAUGAAGAGUUAGAAGGUCCAACAGAUCAGUUCGACUAAGAGAAUAAAUUUCAAUUUCCAAGGUUUUCUAAAUACAUCCAAGGGGACUGCAUCAGACUACAAUUAUCCAUGAAACAUAAUGGAAAAACGUCUUCGAAUUCCAAAUAUACUAUUUGUUUUCUUUUGCUUUUAGAAAACAUUUUUUGACGAUGUUGAAUGAGAAUGAAUUGGGUAAGUUGUUUUUUUUUGAGAAAGAAUGAUAUAAUAUUGCGUGUGUUAGAGCA